rnacentral:rRNA from 1 species
GCGACGAAGGCCCUAGGGUCGUAAAGCUCUGUUGUUAGGGACGAAGGGCGAAGGGUUAAUAGCCCUUAGCCUGACGGUACCUUUCGAGGAAGCCCCGGCUAACUACGUGCCAGCAGCCGCGGUAAUACGUAGGGGGCGAGCGUUGUCCGGAAUUAUUGGGCGUAAAGGGCGCGUAGGCGGCCUGGUAAGUCUGCUGUGAAACCUUGGGGCUCAACCCCAAGCGUGCAGUGGAUACUGUCAGGCUAGAGGAUGGUAGAGGCCAGUGGAAUUCCCGGUGUAGCGGUGAA